rnacentral:lncRNA from 1 species
CUCCAGCUGUUUCUCAGGCUGAGUUCUGUCCCUGUCCCCACACAGAACACAGGACAGAGGGAGGCUCUUAGGAUGUUGUGCUCCGCGGGGCUCAGACGAAAUCUUCUGUGAAUGGAAGAAAUGCUUCCAAGCAAACAGCCACUACCAGAACAACUGUGUGACCAGGAGAAAGAGGCCAGAGCACGAGUUCUCAAACCCUGAAGUCGCAGGAGCCCGAGGGGGAUAUUGGAGAGAAGAAUGCACUGCUACUACAUGGCUUCCUAUCCCUGCGCGAACGUCUACACGCAAACAUUAGCUCCUCAGAGCGGCUUCCCAGAGGCAGCGUCGUCGGACCCUGCUGCGUUCCUGUGCCUGCUGCUCCUACUUAAAAGCACAGCUUUGUCUGCGGUGCUUCUUGAGAGGGCCGCUCACCCUCCCUGGACCUCAGUUUCCAGCCCAGGACAACCUCUCAGUUCCCAAAGGCCCUCUGAGAGAACUGCAGAAGUGGCUGAGCCAUCACCCAGCUGAACUGUCAGGUGGAGGGUUUUGAGAAGAGGACAGGAGCCAGAUCAAACAAGCAGGCCAUUUGGAGGUGGGAAAGGUUUUAAGUUUCCUCCUGGGCUCCUACCAUCACGGCCACGCCCACUGCCCUGAUAAGACCCUUGUGAUUAUUGUUCUGAGGCUGCUGGACAGGCAUCUACUGGGAUGAGGAGAGAGAGAGAGAGAGAGAGAAAAGCAGCUGCUGGGAGGACCAGGUGCUCGCAAAGGUGAGAGAUGAUAUAGGUGAAGGGCCAUGGCUGGGACAGGGAGGGGGAUUGCAAAGAAAGAGACAAAAAGAGGCAGAGAGAGGGAGUGAGGUCCAGAAGCCAGCGGGAGGAACAGGCAGGGAAUAGGGCCCCAUGCGGCCCAGGGGCCCAGAAGGCACAGAAGCAGAGCUGAAGACAGACAGACAUAUGCUGCUCAGA